CGGGUGGGGGCCGCGCUGCUGGGCCGAUGACGGGAGGCGCUGACGGCGCCGACGUGUCACCAUGGAAACCAAACAGUAAAUAGCAAACUCGCGAGCUCCUGGCACAGCCUGACCCAGCGACCUGGCCUGGAGCAAAGGGCCGGAAGCUGGGAAGGGCCAGGAGAAAAAACCUGGGCCUGGCAGACGGGGGCAGGGGCGCGGCGAGGGUGCCGAGAGGGCAGAGGAGGCGACGGCGAGGGAGCACCCUUUCUGGGAGGUCCCUGGGAAGCCAGCUCUCCCUCAGCCCGGGAUCCAGCAGGGGCAGCCAAAAUUAAUUAGCCGGAAGCACAAUGGCAGUGCAUUCACUCUGAAGUUGAAUUGGCAGAAGAAAGCCAGAGGAGGCAGAGGAGGAAUUCCAGGAGCCAAAAAUGGAAGUUGGACGCAGGUCAGCCUGAUGGAUGUGAUAAUAAGUGAGGAAGUUACGAUUCCAAUCCUAAUAGUGAAAUAUUGAGAGAGUCUUUCAUUCUAACCAUUCUUCAAUUUGCUCACCUUUAAGAAAAAGAAGCAGGAAGACGUGUUCCCGCAAAAGCUAUUGUACAGCGGGUUCCCGCCCCCACAAUCUCUAAUGAAUCUCAGCAUGAGCAUUGCAACGUGAAGACACGUAUUCAUAAAAUAUUCCAGCAUCAGCUCUAGAGUUUCCUUCUCUUUGAUAAGGCAUCC